rnacentral:lncRNA from 1 species
CCUCUUCCAUCAUUAUGACGUGGGGCCCAUCUCGUGAUUUUUCAGCUUUCUAUAAACAUGUUCCCCUCCCUAUUUUAAAUCUAUAUAAAUUUAUAAAUUUUUAUAUUUUUAAACUGAUGUGACGCAACCUUCUUAAUUUGGAAGUGUAGGUCCUAUUAUUUUUUAAAAAAUUAAUUAAUUUUUUAUUUUUUUUAAUUAAUUGAUUUUUUUUCUCAUUUAAAGCUUUGAAUAUGAAGAGU